CCUUUCAUCGCGGACCCCCGGACACUCUCGCUCCCGGAAUGGCGACUAAGUUCCUUGAAAGCGAAGUCUCCCGGUUAUUUUUCCCGAUGACCUUUAUCGAGCAUCAGACUGAGCUGGAAUGACGCUAAAGAGAGAAGUUGUCCCGGUUCUCCAAGGGCAGUAUCUUCUCCAUCCCCGGUGGGUCUCCGGAAGGGAACAAAUGCCCAGCCCGCUCCUCUCCUUGGGCAGGGAAAGACGUCUGGCGGGGCGCCGUGGCGAGGCCUGAGUCCUCGACGGGCCGGCGAAGGGAGGGG